rnacentral:rRNA from 1 species
ACGGGAGGCAGCAGUGGGGAAUAUUAGGCAAUGGGGGCAACCCUGACCUAGCAACGCCGCGUGAAGGAAGAAGGCCUUCGGGUUGUAAACUUCUUUUAUGAGGGACGAAGGAAGUGACGGUACCUCAUGAAUAAGCCACGGCUAACUACGUGCCAGUAGCCGCGGUAAUACGUAGGUGGCGAGCGUUGUCCGGAUUUACUGGGUGUAAAGGGCGCGUAGGCGGGAUGACAAGUCAGAUGUGAAAUCCAUGGGCUCAACCCAUGAACUGCAUUUGAAGCUGCCAUUCUUGAGUGUCGGAGAGGCAAGCGGAAUUCCUAGUGUAGCGGUGAAAUGCGUAGAUAUUAGGAGGAACACCAGUGGCGAAGGCGGCUUGCUGGACGAAAACUGACGCUGAGGCGCGAAAGCGUGGGGAGCAAACAGGAUUAGAUACCCUGGUA